GCGAACCUGAUCCAGCAUGCCGCGUGUGUGAAGAAGGCCUUCGGGUUGUAAAGCACUUUUGUCCGGAAAGAAAUCCUUGGUCCUAAUAUGGCCGGGGGAUGACGGUACCGGAAGAAUAAGCACCGGCUAACUACGUGCCAGCAGCCGCGGUAAUACGUAGGGUGCAAGCGUUAAUCGGAAUUACUGGGCGUAAAGCGUGCGCAGGCGGUUUGCUAAGACCGAUGUGAAAUCCCCGGGCUCAACCUGGGAACUGCAUUGGUGACUGGCAGGCUAGAGUAUGGCAGAGGGGGGUAGAAUUCCACGUGUAGCAGUGAAAUGCGUAGAGAUGUGGAGGAAUACCGAUGGCGAAGGCAGCCCCCUGGGCCAAUACUGACGCUCAUGCACGAAAGCGUGGGGAGCAAACAGGAUUAGAUACCCUGGUAGUCCACGCCCUAAACGAUGUCAACUAGUUGUUGGGGAUUCAUUUCCUUAGUAACGUAGCUAACGCGUGAAGUUGACCGCCUGGGGAGUACGGUCGCAAGAUUAAAACUCAAAGGAAUUGACGGGG
rnacentral:rRNA from 1 species